GACGAACGCUGGCGGCGUGCUUAACACAUGCAAGUCGAACGGAAAGGCCCUGCUUUUGUGGGGUGCUCGAGUGGCGAACGGGUGAGUAACACGUGAGUAACCUGCCCUUGACUUUGGGAUAACUUCAGGAAACUGGGGCUAAUACCGGAUAGGAGCUCCUGCUGCAUGGUGGGGGUUGGAAAGUUUCGGCGGUGGGGGAUGGACUCGCGGCGUAUCAGCUUGUUGGUGGGGUAGUGGCUUACCCAGGCUUUGACGGGUAGCCGGCCUGAGAGGGUGAUCGGCGGCAUUGGAGCUGGGACGCGGUCCAGGGGACUACGAGAGGCAGCAGAAGCGUAUGGGAGGCAGUGGGGGGGAAUAUGGCAGAGUGGGGGGAAGCCUGAGGCAGAAACGCUGCGUGCGUAAUGACGUCCUUCGGGUGAUAAACCGCUUUCGCCUGUGACGAAGCGUGAGUGACGGUAAUGGGUAAAGAAGCACCGGCUAACUACGUG
rnacentral:rRNA from 1 species